rnacentral:rRNA from 1 species
GUGCCAGCAGCCGCGGUAAUACGUAGGUGGCAAGCGUUGUCCGGAUUUAUUGGGCGUAAAGCGAGCGCAGGCGGUUUUUAAGUCUGAUGUGAAAACCUUCGGCUCAACCGAAGAAGUGCAUCGGAAAACUGGGGAAACUUGAGUGCAGAAGAGGACAGUGGAACUCCAUGUGUAGCGGUGAAAUGCGUAGAUAUAUGGAAGAACACCAGUGGCGAAGGCGGCUGUCUGGUCUGUAACUGACGCUGAGGCUCGAAAGCAUGGGUAGCAAACAGGAUUAGAUACCCUGGUAGUCCAUGCCGUAAACGAUGAGUGCUAGGUGUUGGAGGGUUUCCGCCCUUCAGUGCCGCAGCUAACGCAUUAAGCACUCCGCCUGGGGAGUACGAUCGCAAGAUUGAAACUCAAAGGAAUUGACGGGGGCCCGCACAAGCGGUGGAGCAUGUGGUUUAAUUCGAAGCAACGCGAAGAACCUUACCAGGUCUUGACAUCUUCUGAAAAUCUUAGAGAUAAGACGUUCCCUUCGGGGACAGAAUGACAGGUGGUGCAUGGUUGUCGUCAGCUCGUGUCGUGAGAUGUUGGGUUAAGUCCCGCAACGAGCGCAACCCUUAUUACUAGUUGCCAGCAUUUAGUUGGGCACUCUAGUGAGACUGCCGGUGACAAACCGGAGGAAGGUGGGGACGACGUCAAAUCAUCAUGCCCCUUAUGACCUGGGCUACACACGUGCUACAAUGGAUGGUACAACGAGUCGCAAAACCGCGAGGUUAAGCUGAUCUCUUAAAACCAUUCUCAGUUCGGAUUGUAGGCUGCAACUCGCCUACAUGAAGCCGGAAUCGCUAGUAAUCGCGGAUCAGCAUGCCGCGGUGAAUACGUUCCCGGGCCUUGUACACACCGCCCGU